rnacentral:rRNA from 1 species
AGAGUUUGAUCCUGGCUCAGAAUCAACGCUGGCGGCGUGCCUAACACAUGCAAGUCGAAUGCGAAAGGGACUUCGGUCCUGAGUAGAGUGGCGAACGGGUGAGUAACGCGUGGGUGACCUACCCUCGAGUGGGGGAUAACGUUCCGAAAGGGACGCUAAUACCGCAUGAUAUUCCGGGUUUGAAGACCUGGAAAUCAAAGCCGGGGACCGCAAGGCCUGGCGCUUGAGGAGGGGCCCGCGUCUGAUUAGCUAGUUGGCGGGGUAAUGGCCCACCAAGGCGACGAUCAGUAGCCGGCCUGAGAGGGCGGACGGCCACACUGGGACUGAGACACGGCCCAGACUCCUACGGGAGGCAGCAGUGGGGAAUUGUUCGCAAUGGGCGCAAGCCUGACGACGCAACGCCGCGUGGAGGAUGAAGGUCUUCGGAUCGUAAACUCCUGUUGAUCGGGACGAAAAGCUUCGACCUAAUACGUCGAAGACUGACGGUACCGGUUGAG